GAGUUUGAUCUUGGCUCAGGACGAACGCUGGCGGCGUGCCUAACACAUGCAAGUCGAACGGACGAGGCCCCUUCGGGGACCGAGUUAGUGGCGGACGGGUGAGUAACGCGUGAGCAACCUGCCUUUCAGUGGGGGACAACAGUUGGAAACGACUGCUAAUACCGCAUAAAGCUAACCGGAGGCAUCUCUGGGGAGCCAAAGAUUUAUUGCUGAAAGAUGGGCUCGCGUCUGAUUAGCUAGUUGGCGGGUAAGGCCCACCAAGGCGACGAUCAGUAGCCGGACUGAGAGGUUGAACGGCCACAUUGGGACUGAGAUACGGCCCAGACUCCUACGGGAGGCAGCAGUGGGGAAUAUUGGGCAAUGGGGGAAACCCUGACCCAGCAACGCCGCGUGAAGGAAGAAGGCCU
rnacentral:rRNA from 1 species